rnacentral:lncRNA from 1 species
UUUUUCAUUUCUCAACUUUCUUUCUCUCUCUUCUAUCUUUUCUCUCUCUGCUACGCACUCUUUCUCUCUCUGUCGCCUAUUCAUGAAGAACAACAAGAACACCUCCGUCUCGUCCCCGGAUUCCGGCGGCUGGCCAUCACGAAUCUCAUACUCCGGCGAGCCACCACACUAGCUCGUCCUUCACCACCACAUCCACCACCAUCACACCUACAAAUCACUAGAAAUUGUUCGCCGCCUUUAUUCCUCCGCGCUGUGAAGCAUACUCGCCGAUUUCAUUCUUUCGUUUUCAAAAGCCUCUCUGGUAAUCUUUCGAUUUCAUUCUUUUUUCUUCUCACCGAUUUCAUAAGCUACUUGCAUUACUUCUCACUGAUUUUGAUUUCUUCAUUUCUUCUUCUCUUAGGUGGGUUCAAUUCCUCAAAUUUUGAUCUUGCAUGUUUGAAAUCUUCCCUGAAAUUGGAUCUUUGGAUGUCAAUCAGGUACCUAGAAUAAUAUCAUCUCUCUUUCAUACUAUUUUUCGUUAUUUAUUUUAAUUUUUGCAGAAUGCAUUCCAGUGAUAAAAUUGAAUUUUUAUCAAUUGGUUCAGAUUAAUCAAACCCCAUAUGAAUUUUGUGUAUUUUGUGCAAAACAAAGUUAAAGCUUUGAUUUUUAAUGAUUUAUGUUUUGUGGGGUUUGUUUGUUUGUGUUGGACAGGUAGUUGAAGUUUCAACUUCAAAUCUGGAAAACAUGGACAUGUUAAGUGUUGCUUUGUUGGUUUUCACAUCUUCACUGGCCAAAAACAUGAAGAUAUUGUUCCUUCUUCUCAUAACUGUCAUGCAUGGUUUUCAUUUUAAUAUGAGGUUAUUUUUUGGGUUUGGAAUAUAUUUUUAAUUAGUGAUUAACUAAGAUGUGUUUGUUUGUUAUUACAACAGGUUCCUCAUAUCAAUUGUACUCAUAAACUUGCUAAAUAUGAGGUAGUUCGGCGGCAGCUUCCGACACAGAGGUAAGGAUUUGUUUCUAUGUAAUUAAAACCAUGGCUAUCACUAAUUAGCUGCAUACUAUUCUUACCAAAUAAUUAUUGAUUUGUUUCUAUGUAUAUGCAGGGAACAAUCUUUGUUAAAUUUUGUAGCUUUACUGUGCUGUUUCGAUUUUUUUUUAUUAAAGAUUACAUUUUUACUUUGUUUUGUUUGAAUUCUUUUUCUACUCUUUUUAUCGAUUUUGAUUCAUGGGUUUGGAAAUUACAACUAUGCAAUAGAGUUUAAACUUGAAUUAGGUGUCACUGUUAACAAUAUUAUUUAAAUGCACUCCUGUCUUUGAGUAGAGAAAAGUCUAGAUAUGGCCGCAAGAAGAAAAUGCUUUUGAUUGAUCUCUUUGAGAAUUGUAAUAAUUUUCAGCAUUGUCCUUGUGAUCAGAAGUUGUUGGAACACCAAAAUAUAACAAUUUUACAUAUGCUGAUGUACAUAUCCAUAAGUUCACUUGCCAACUGAACUAUGAAGCUGAAUUUUAAUUGUUGUACUCAUGCUGGCUAGAUAUUGUGGUAGUUUUUCUCUUAAGUGACAGGGGAGACAUGAUGGGUUGGCUUUUUUGAGUUAAAUUGUGUUCUGGGUCAAUUUAAAGUUUAUAGCAUAUAGGUUUGCUUACAGCAUAGGGUAUAGUGCUUUACUGAAUUGCUUAUUCAUUAUUUUUUUAAUGUUAUGUAUUAUAGAGGUUUAUUUAAGGUGGUAACGGAAGGAGGAUUUGAUGCCAUUAUUUCAGUGAACUCUUGUGACCAUGUUGAUGAAUUCCUUGAUUUUAUGUAUUGCCAUGGUUAAUAAUACGUAGCUUGGUGUUGCAAUAGAAGUUGUGUUACCUUCUUAUUUCNNNNNNNNNNNNNNNNNNNNNNNNNNNNNNNNNNNNNNNNNNNNNNNNNNNNNNNNNNNNNNNNNNNNNNNNNNNNNNNNNNNNNNNNUUUGGUUUUGUUUAUACAACACUAAAAGGGGAACCAGGUUGGUCUUAAUUCUUGAAUUUGUUUGGCAAUAAGGGAAACAUUGAGACACUUGUGAAAUUCCAUGAGUUUCCUUUUUGAUCAGAUCUUGCAUUCAGAAAGAUGAGGAUUGUGGAAGCUAUUGAAAAAGAAUUGGGUAGUGAAAGGUAUUUUGCUCUCUUAGUUGUUCGAUUCAAGUCUUUACAUCAGAGUUCAAACUAUCCUCCACUAGGUUAGGCUUAGUGUGUUUAUACAGUAUUAGUUACAAUGAUGAUUCUAGAGCCUUUGUAUGUUUGUGUAACUGAUUCCUAAUUCUAAUCAUGGAUGGAGGUCUCACAAUUUGAUGUCUUACUUUAUUGCACUAUUUAUGCAGCCCAGACAGGCAAGAAUAGAAUAACCAGAAACAUCUUACUAAGACCAGAAAAAAUAGCACUAACUGCAGAAAAUUAAAAACCAGAAGACCAUAAAGUAGCACAACUGAUGCAGGAAAAACACGCAGAGCAGCAUACAACCCCAGGUCUUCGAUCACCGCCACAUACAAAUCACCGGUUCGUUCAACCACUCAUAUAAAAGACAAUGAUGCACUUUCUCAUUAGAUAGUUUCUUAGUCUCUACAUGAUAUACAUUAACCUCUAUAUAUCACUUAACAUGUUUAUAAUUUUAUCUGAUAUUUAUACAAUGUAAUCAUAUUCCAUCUCCGAGUAUACACAGAGGUUUCUAAUUCUGAUCAUGGAUAGAGGUCUCAUAAUUCGAUGUCUUACUUUAUUGCACGAUUUAUAAACAUCCGGAUGUCGAUAUAGAUUCACAAUUUUUUGUACUCACAUUGUUUUAUUUCGUGAGUUUUGAUCAUUUUUUUUUUUGGCUUUGGUUUUCAUGAUUAAUUAAAUGCAGGUUCAAUUUGGGUUUUCUUCCUUUCAUUAAGGUAUGUAUUCCAUACAAAAUUUGCAUUGUUUAGUGU